UUUAACCAGUCCAUGCAUUUUCUGGGAAACAAAUGCAAAUACAUAACCCGCCCACUGAAGCUAAGCAGGGCUGCGCCCGGUCAGUACCUGGAUGGGAGAACACAUGGGAAAGCUAGGUUGCUGUCGAAU
rnacentral:rRNA from 1 species